rnacentral:misc_RNA from 1 species
AAGCGGCAGUCAGUAGCGCCACACUCGUGCGACAGUGAAAACAUGUCGGUCCUCGUAUCGCAGCAACAACAACCAUCGUCCCCAGAAUCGCAAAGUAUGACCGACCAAAAAGGCAUUCCCAAGUCGAAGAGGAAACUUCAAAAGCACCUGCGCAGCGCGGGACUGGCGUACGUAUCCCGCACCGGAAAACUAAUACCCGCCAAAAAAGUAUCAGAUGAACUAUGCCAAUGUCCCCACAAAUGCGACGAAUUGGUGCCAAUGGAAGCAAGAAAUAGUCUGUUUCAGCAUUUCUACGGUUUGGGAGAAGCCGAUCGUCAGAAUCAGUUUCUUAGGCAAAACAUGGACCUGAGAGCGAGACUUAACCUGCCAGAAACGACGGGGACCGGGCGACCUCCUAGGAGGAUCACUUGCAAGUACUUAGUGCCUUUAUUGGAAGAAGGAAGAUCCGUAGAAGUAUGCCAAAAAGCAUUCGUAAGUGCCUUUGUGAUAACGACAAAAAGAGUGAGACUACAGAGGGAGAAGUUGAUAUCUAGCCUAGGGUUGAAUAGUUACAGAAGUCACAACAGAAGUAAAAAAGACAAAGAUGAGAAGAAGGAACAACUUACCAAAAGCUUUGAAACAAACAACAAUAACAAUAUACUAUGGAAUAACAACACCAUAACCUUAUCAAGUCUAAAAUCUCAGUUUAACCUGCCUUCGAACCUAAGUCUUUAUGUACCAAGUAACGCAACACAUAUAAAAGUGGAUCCAAAUAUAUUAAAAGGCGGGCCAAAUUAUAUUAAAUUGGAGCAAAAGUUAUUGAAUAACAACGAAUCAACAACGUCAGAUACAAGCUCCGCGAAGAGGUUAGCAAGCAUUUUAGGUAAAAAAUCUCUUGAAGAGUUACGCGAAUUAAAUAUAACCUUAGAGGACGAGUCUAACAGCGAUUCAGAUACGGACACUAAACCUCCACUGGCCAAAAGAGUUAAGAAAGAGAAAAAUCUGUGGAGUGAUUUACAGUCAGAAAGCCCGCUAAUUCCCUUAGGGCUUAUGGUACCAGAUGGCGUAACAAUCGCCCCGGUGAUGGGACCAGACCAUGACAGAAAUCUCGCCAUUGUUAACAACUUUUUCCAUAACCAACUAUGGAAACCCGAAUACAUUGGGGCACUGUCGUGAUAAAUACGGUAUAAGUAUGUAGGUCAACGCAAACAUUGCAGGCAGUGUUAAAUGUUCAUUUGUAUCCCUCCUAAAAAAAUAAUUUUCCU